rnacentral:rRNA from 1 species
CACGGGGGGAGCAAGCGUUGUUCGGAAUCACUGGGCGUAAAGGGCGUGCAGGCGGUCAGGUAAGUGGGAUGUGAAAUGCCCCGGCUCACCCGGGGACCGGCAUCUCAUACUGCUUGGCUUGAGUACGGGAGAGGAUGUGGGAAUUCCUGGUGUAGCGGUGAAAUGCGUAGAUAUUGGGAGGAACACCAGUGGCGAAGGCGGCUCACUGGACCGGUACUGACGCUGAGGCGCGAAAGCGUGGGGAGCAAACAGG